GUGGAAUGAACUGCUUUGCCAAGCUGAGGGUCAGUUAGGAGAAUUGUGUGAAGAGUUUUGCAAAAGUGACCUAAGUAUUGAGAAAUGUGUCCUAGCGUCUGUAAAAAACUGUAAUGUGUGAAACUGUAUGCUAAAGCGGAAUGCUAAUGAGAUGUUCUGCCGUAGUGUGCUGUGCGGAGUGGUGUGUGGCGAGCCUGUGCACUGAUAAUACACCGUUGUUUCCAUUCAGGAAAUAAAGUGGCAACGAUCGAUCAGAGACUCCUUGUCUUUUUAAAAACACUACACAACGCAGAGUCGAGGAGUCUGUUUGGGCCGAACUGUUGCAGCGGGAUGAAGCAGAAACCGGUUACAGUAGCAUUACAGAAAUGUAGCAGUGACAAUAAUAUUGUAUGUUGUAAUCGCAAUGGACAAUAAGUGAUACAAAACAACUGUUUUAUCCUGUGAAUAAAAGUAUAUGUUUUUGUCAAUGUACCAUGGUAAUAACAGAAGCGAAACACAAUAUUGUGUCAGGACAAUUCACUAUUUAUGCACAAUAAAUAAAGGAGCAUAGCGCGACAAUUUCUGUUCAGCGCCAGACUUGCUUGUAACCUAUAUCACCAAUUAUGUUAAGAAAAAUGACGUAUUAACUACUAAAAAACUCUGACCUUUGUGGGAAUGCUUGGAGCAGACUAACAUGUGAGCUGGAGUGUUCUGAGACGUUAUAUUUGGUAUAUCCAGACCAUCCGUCGGCUCUUACUUCGGAAACAUGGCUUAAAAAAUUUCUCUUCAACGACGUAAUCCGAUAAAAAAAAAAAAAGAUCUCUUUACCCAUCGGCUUCCCGUGGCUGUCAUGCGACCGGCUAUUGAAGUUAAUAAUACAACAGCUUCUUGCCAUUUUUUGGGUUUCUUUUUAUCGCUGUGUAACUGAGUUCAAUUGAAAGCCUGCGUGCGCUAGUACCUCUUGCCACAAGUUCCCAGAAUCCUUUGCGGUUUUAUCCCUGAAUGAUGUCACAUUUUCAAUCUUUAUCCUGGUGGGCCGGUCUCUAGUCAAAAUGCCCGGGCCGAUUUUUU
ensembl:lncRNA